rnacentral:rRNA from 1 species
AUUGAACGCUGGCGGCAGGCCUAACACAUGCAAGUCGAGCGGAUGAAGGGAGCUUGCUCCUGGAUUCAGCGGCGGACGGGUGAGUAAUGCCUAGGAAUCUGCCUGGUAGUGGGGGAUAACGUCCGGAAACGGGCGCUAAUACCGCAUACGUCCUGAGGGAGAAAGUGGGGGAUCUUUGAACCUCACGCUAUCAGAUGAGCCUAGGUCGGAUUAGCUAGUUGGUGGGGUAAAGGCCUACCAAGGCGACGAUCCGUAACUGGUCUGAGAGGAUGAUCAGUCACACUGGAACUGAGACACGGUCCAGACUCCUACGGGAGGCAGCAGUGGGGAAUAUUGGAUAAUGGGCGAAAGCCUGAUCCAGCCAUGCCGCGUGUGUGAAGAAGGUCUUCGGAUUGUAAAGCACUUUAAGUUGGGAGGAAGGGCAGUAAGUUAAUACCUUGCUGUUUUGACGUUACCAACAGAAUAAGCACCGGCUAACUUCGUG